rnacentral:rRNA from 1 species
AACCUCCGCAAUGUGAGAAAUCGCGACGGGGGGAUCCCAAGUGCCAUUCUUAACGGGAUGGCUUUUCAUUAGUGUAAAGAGCUUUUGGAAUAAGGGCUGGGCAAGACCGGUGCCAGCCGCCGCGGUAACACCGGCAGCUCUAGUGGUAGCAGUUUUUAUUGGGCCUAAAGCGUCCGUAGCCGGUUUAAUAAGUCUCUGGUGAAAUCCUGUAGCUUAACUGUGGGAAUUGCUGGAGAUACUAUUAGACUUGAGACCGGGAGAGGUUAGAGGUACUCCCAGGGUAGAGGUGAAAUUCUGUAAUCCUGGGAGGACCGCCUGUUGCGAAGGCGUCUAACUGGAACGGUUCUGACGGUGAGGGACGAAAGUUAGGGGCGCGAACCGGAUUAGAUACCCGGGUAGUCCUAACCGUAAACGAUGCGGACUUGGUGUUGGGGUGACUUUGAGCUGCUCCAGUGCCGAAGGGAAGCUGUUAAGUCCGCCGCCUGGAAGGUACGGUCGCAAGACUGAAACUUAAAGGAAAU